GUCGCACGUGUGCGGCGUCGCGGCGAUCGUCCUCCACACUCUCAAGGUGUGUGUGUCUGGAAAAUAUGGGGAGACAAGGAAUUCUUGUCUCUUAUUAGUGGAAAAUAGAAUGGGAGUCGCCACCUAGUAUUUUGGUCACUAGGAACCCUAACUGGUCUCAGAGAUCAGGUACGGAGACUGGUUGCGUAAAUGGAAGGUAUUAACACCCCAAAUACGCCCUACCUAGGGUAAGCUGCAUUGUUUUAUUGUCUGAUAAAAAUCUAAGGUCUCAUCA
rnacentral:lncRNA from 1 species